UUAAUUGAAGCUAAAAAGAAGCAUUCCACUGUUAAUGGAAAAACUGGUUUCACCCUAUUAAA
rnacentral:tRNA from 1 species